GCGAACUUAGUUUAAUGGUAAAAUACCAGCUUCCCAAGCUAGUGUCGCGAGUUCGAUUCUCGUAGUUCGCU
rfam:Lactobacillus tucceti DSM 20183 Scaffold26, whole genome shotgun sequence.